UACGUAGGGGGCUAGCGUUAUCCGGAAUUACUGGGCGUAAAGGGUGCGUAGGUGGUUUCUUAAGUCAGAGGUGAAAGGCUACGGCUCAACCGUAGUAAGCCUUUGAAACUGGGGAACUUGAGUGCAGGAGGGGAGAGUGGAAUUCCUAGUGUAGCGGUGAAAUGCGUAGAUAUUAGGAGGAACACCAGUUGCGAAGGCGGCUCUCUGGACUGUAACUGACACUGAGGCACGAAAGCGUGGGGAGCAAACAGG
rnacentral:rRNA from 1 species